GAUGAACGCUGACAGAAUGCUUAACACAUGCAAGUCUUUGGCGAAGCUGUGCUUGCACCGCCUAGCCAAGGCGGACGGGUGAGUAACGCGUAAGGAACUUGCCCUGCAGUCAGGGAUAACAGACGGAAACGACUGAUAAGACCUGGUAAAGUCAGGCGGACUCAUGUCCAGCCUGAUGAAAAGAGAUGCUGCAGGAGAGCCUUGCGUCCUAUUAGCUUGUUGGUGGGGUAACGGCCCACCAAGGCGAUGAUAGGUAGCCGGCCUGAGAGGGUGGACGGCCACAAGGGGACUGAGAUACGGCCCUUACUCCUACGGGAGGCAGCAGUGGGGAAUAUUGGACAAUGGGGGCAACACUGAUCCAGCAAUUCUGUGUGCACGAUGAAGGUUUUCGGAUUGUAAAGUGCUUUCAGCAGGGAAGAAAAAAAUGACGGUACCUGCAGAAGAAGCGACGGCUAAAUACGUG
rnacentral:rRNA from 1 species